CGGCAGAGCCCUAAGCUAUACGCGGACUGUGUAAAGCUGCUGUGUUCUACAAGACCGUUCAUCGAACACCAGAUUAGACGUUUCUAUAUGGCUUGUUAAGGAUUUCACAAUGAAGCAGGAAAGUUAUACCUAUACGGUUUCCGCUUCCCAGAUUGAUCCGAAAGACAUACGCUGGUAAAAUUUCUGGCGUUUGGCUGCUGUUGGGAAGCCAACCACAUCAAGUCAGGUGCGAAGGUUCCUCCCGUGCAAACACAAAAGCAGGGGGGUCGUCAUUGCCACGGACGUAUUUUGGUUACCGUUUCC